CACUUUGAUUGUUAGGAAUUAAGCCCCAAGUCCAGUUAAGAGCCUAAAUUAAUCCAGCCAAGUAGUUCCGUUCUAAAACUGGAAAAUUGGAUACUACAAAUUGGUUAGAAUUGCAAUAAUAGUUUUCGAGAUAUGUAUCAGUGUGUGUAAUAUACACAGUUGCUCCUAAAACGGAAAAUAAAAAGGUCGAGGUUCGGCUGAAGGGUGGACCACCGCCGUAGACCAAUCCCAGCCACCGUAGAGUACAGGUUUAGUCUGUUGAUGGGACCCAAUAGCAGCAGCUGCUCUGCCAAGCCAGCUAUUAUAUACAUAAUUAUGAACCUAACAACCAACCAUUUAACCCUUGGGGGAAUAGGGAUUAAUCUGGCGAACCAACACUUCAGGGCCGGUUACUUAGUAGCUGCAGAGAACCAUCAAAUGACACUUUCAAUGGCCCCAACAACAGAAUAAACCCAUUUCCCCAACUGCUCCAGGGUGGAAGAGAACCGUUAACGAUGCUCAGCGGUGGCGCCACAUAUCAAGCCUUCCAUUGCCUUGAUGCCCCCACUCGGGUUACAGGCAUUCGUUACCGUGCCCGGCAACAGUAUCUUUCAGCCUUGGUUAUAUAAAGGGGGAAAUAUUUUUGAAGAUUCUCGAUGUGGGACAACGCAGUUUUGCAGAAAAUUCUACGCUCCGGUCUCAUGAAGGCAAUGUUGCAUCUCAGGUACCUUGAAUCCUCGCCCUCUCUAUGUUCUCUCUCUAAAGCAUGGAUUUUUGGAGGUUUAGGAUCUGAGAAGGGGAUUUUCGGGUAACAAAAUGGGCUUGACAACCAUAAAAAAAACCGGGUCGAGUUAUGGCCCAUAAUGUUAACUCGUCUAUAAUUGCGGUGAUUUAAGCACUUCUGCUGCGAGUAUUUUAAAUUUACAAGGAUAAUCUCUUAUUCACCUUCUGGUUUUUAUAAAUGAAUCACUUUGGGUUUUAAAAAGCUCUAUUAAUCAAAUAAAACACUCUUAGAAAAUUAUCCAAAUAAAUCAAAAUUCAACUACUUAGUCCCAGUUUCGUAGGAACUAAAAUCUAUAUAUUAAUCUAAAUCAAAGUCAACAAAUAAUUUUAAUUAUAUAUUUCAUAAACUUUUAUCAAAAUUUAUUAAUAUCUAACUUUAAUUCUUACCAAAUAGGGGCUAGUUUCAAAAUUCAUACCAAACAAGCUCUCAAUUUGUUUCAUCUCUUAAAGGCUUAGAUCAAUAUAGACAUUGCCAAUUUAGGAAAAUAGGCUUUUGGAAAAAUGGAAUUUGAUUAACUCAUAAUAUAUGAAAGUAUAUCAGUAUCAUCAUGAACGAAUGAGAAUAUUUAACUUAAAAAAUAAAUAAUUUGAGGAAUCUGAAUAUUUAAUUGUAGCUGAGCUUGAUGGAACUUGUACUAAUGUGCUUAAUGACAAAUAAGAAAAAACUAUUUGUCUAACAAAGCGUCCAAUACAAUCAACAAAAAUGCUACAGGUACAACAUAUUUGACAGUAUGGUUGACAACCCUCUCACAUAUAAGGGGUGGGGAAUAAAGAGUUUUGUUCCUUGAACAUCCAAAAAUCUCUCCUCCAACUAGCUGCUUUGCUCUAAUUACAGCGACCUUCCCUGUAUUUUAAAGUCAAAAACAUGCAGAUUCAUGAAUGACAGCUCCUGGCUCAUUUCUCCCUUCGUUGCAGGUAAUUUCUUUGAUUCUUGAUGCUCAAUAGUAUUCUCUGAUCCUCCUCUGAAGUGGUAUUAGUUUAUACAGAACUAGAAAAUAUUUAGGACUGCAAUAUUGUAUCACGAUUUUCUACUAAAAAACAGCUUAAUCGCCAGCAUACUAUAAUCCGAAAAUUUCUAGAAGAUAUUUCCCUCAAGCAAAAGGUUCAUUUGUAAAGCAAAGCUUAAUAUAUGAAUGCUAUCGCCAUUGGUUGUAUUUUCUUUUACUACUCUUCUCUGGAGGAAGUGCUGUGAACUAGAUGAUCCUUCGAACUUGGGCAACAUUGGCGUGGAACCUCUCAGCAAUUUGACGAAUAUCCAUAGGCCCAUCAUGAUCAUCAACCUAGCCUUGGUGCUGCAGGAUGAUUUGGCGUAUUUGUGCGACAUUUUGGGUUCUGGGAGGAGCAGGUCUUUCCUCGUAUCUGCUGUAAUCAGGUGUCGUAUUCCUUAGUUUAGGCAGAGACCUUUUGUACUUCUCCAACAAAGAGGCCUGUCAAAAUAGUUUGGGGUCAAUAACAUAUUCGCUUGAUAAAGCCAAAAAUAGCCGAAGGACUCAAUCUUUCAAAUUCACUAUCGGCCUCUUAAUGAACAGUAUGAAAUGGCAAAAAGUAUUUGUAUAGCCAGAGACGAAUCCAGAAUGUUGAACUAGUACGGACAGCCG
rnacentral:lncRNA from 1 species